UUUCCUUUUAAAUAAGAUCAUUCAUUUCUAGAAAUAUGAUUACCUUCAAGGGAAAAUAUCAGAAAGUAUUAAAAGUUAUUUUU